AGGUAAUUGCCCUCAGUAACGGCGAGUGAAGCGGCAAAAGCUCAAAUUUGAAAUCUGGCACCUUCGGUGUCCGAGUUGUAAUUUGAAGAAGGUAACUUUGGAGUUGGCUCUUGUCUAUGUUCCUUGGAACAGGACGUCACAGAGGGUGAGAAUCCCGUGCGAUGAGAUGCCCAAUUCUAUGUAAAGUGCUUUCGAAGAGUCGAGUUGUUUGGGAAUGCAGCUCUAAGUGGGUGGUAAAUUCCAUCUAAAGCUAAAUAUUGGCGAGAGACCGAUAGCGAACAAGUACAGUGAUGGAAAGAUGAAAAGAACUUUGAAAAGAGAGUGAAAAAGUACGUGAAAUUGUUGAAAGGGAAGGGCUUGAGAUCAGACUUGGUAUUUUGCAAGCCUUACCUUCGUGGUGGGGUCCCCUGCAGUUUACUGGGCCAGCAUCGGUUUGGAUGGUGGGAUAAUGACUUGGGAAUGUGGCUUUGCUUCGGUAAAGUGUUAUAGCCCUUGUUGAUACCGCCUGUCUAGACCGAGGACUGCGUCUUUGACUAGGAUGUUGGCUAAGAUCUUAAGUCGCCCGUCUUGAAMCMMCGGACCMA
rnacentral:rRNA from 1 species